rnacentral:rRNA from 1 species
AGCAGCCGCGGUAAUUCCAGCUCCAAUAGCGUAUAUUAAAGUUGUUGCAGUUAAAAAGCUCGUAGUUGAAUUUCGAGAUCAGUACGCUGGUCGUGCCUUCGGUAUGCACUGGUGUCACUGGUUUCUCCCUUCUGAAGAACCGUUAUGUCAUUAAGUUGGUGUGGCGGGGAAUCAGGACUGUUACUUUGAAAAAAUUAGAGUGUUUAAAGCAGGCUCGCGCUUGAAUACAUUAGCAUGGAAUAAUGAAAUAGGACGUUUGACCCUAUUUUGUUGGUUUCUAGGAUCGACGUAAUGAUUAAUAGGGAUAGUUGGGGGCAUUAGUAUUCAAUUGUCAGAGGUGAAAUUCUUGGAUUUAUUGAAGACUAACUACUGCGAAAGCAUUUGCCAAGGAUGUUUUCAUUAAUCAAGAACGAAAGUUAGGGGAUCGAAGACGAUCAGAUACCGUCGUAGUCUUAACCAUAAACUAUGCCGACUAGGGAUCGGAUGAUGUUAAUUUUUAAUGACUCAUUCGCGCCUUAAC